rnacentral:lncRNA from 1 species
GACAAAAUUACAAGCUCACUAGCCUCUCAUAUACAAGAAAAAAUAUAUAUAUACAAAUUUCUCUUUGUGGGUUCUAAAGUAUGGCAAAGGACGCUGGAGUGGCGGAGCAUGGAUCGUUCGCGGCAAAGGACUACCAAGAUCCACCACCAGCUCCGCUGAUUGACGCGGAGGAGCUUACAAAGUGGUCAUUUUACAGAGCUGUUAUAGCCGAGUUUAUAGCCACCUUGCUCUUCCUUUACAUUACGGUUUUGACUGUGAUUGGGUACAAGAGCCAGAUUGAUACCACGGUUGGCCACGGCGGUGAUCAGUGCGGUGGCGUUGGAAUUCUUGGUAUUGCAUGGGCCUUUGGUGGAAUGAUCUUCGUUCUUGUCUACUGCACCGCUGGAAUUUCCGGUGAGUUUUGUCUAUUCGCACACAGAUACAUGCAUCCAUGUAUGGUUUGAUUUUAAUGGCAUUUCUCAUGUCAUGUCAUGUGCAUCUCAGGGGGACACAUUAAUCCAGCAGUGACAUUCGGGCUUUUCUUGGCCCGAAAGGUGUCAAUGAUCAGAGCCAUUAUGUAUAUGGUGGCUCAGUGUUUGGGGGCCAUUUGUGGCGUCGCGCUGGUGAAGGCGUUACAGAAGUCACACUAUAAGAAAUAUGGCGGCGGCGUAAAUGAGCUCGCCGAUGGCUACAGCACCGGCGUCGGAUUAUCCGCGGAGAUAAUCGGAACAUUCGUCCUUGUUUACACAGUUUUCUCUGCCACUGAUCCCAAGAGAAGUGCCAGGGAUUCCCAUGUCCCUGUAAGUUGACAUACACAAUUCUCUCUUUUUUUUUUUUUUGCCUUUUGAGAAGUGCAUGUUUGGCUAACCUUAAAAAAUUUACUUAUAACUGAAUAAGUAUUAAAAUAAUUUUUUGGGGGGUCCAAGUGGAAAAUAAUUUACUUAUGUAUUAGUAGCUUUACUGACAAUAUUCCUUAAAAGUAAUUUAAUAUUGACAAUGUUUGCAUUUGGACUUCAAUCUUAGGUAUUGGCACCUCUUCCAAUUGGAUUUGCAGUUUUCAUGGUUCAUUUGGCCACCAUCCCCAUCACUGGUACUGGUAUCAACCCUGCUAGGAGUUUAGGGGCUGCAGUGAUCUACAACCAGGAAAAAGCUUGGGAUGAUCAGGUUAGCAUUUUUCCCAAUGUAUUAUAAAUUAGAUUUAACUAUAGGAAUAAUGUUUUGCGCCAUUUCAUUCACUUUAUUUAUUGCUAAUUCUUCUCGAAAAGCCCCGAUAAAUUUCAAGUUCAUUGUCAACAUACCAGCUCUCGUGUUUUUAUGAAUUUUUUCAAUUAUGAGAGCCUCGUCAAAAAGUAUCAUUCAACUCAUGUUAUAAGAAGUGACUUCGUGUCAACCUCCUUUCUUUAUUCGAACUUGAGACUGACUAUAAACAAAAAUAGCAAAAAGUUAUAUUUCAAAAGCUCUAAACAUAUAGUUUUCAAUAUUAUUUAUACCCCCACCCAAAAUCACAAGUAGUAAUUUAUCUAUUUACUUUCGUGUCCUUCAGUGGAUCUUCUGGGUUGGACCCUUCUUUGGUGCAGCCAUUGCAGCCUUCUACCACCAGUUUAUUUUGAGAGCAGGAGCAGCUAAAGCCCUUGGUUCAUUCAGAAGCAGCUCCCAUGUUUAAUUAUUGUUGAAAAUCACUUUUUUUUUAUCAUUGCUUUUCGGCAAAUGAUUGAAUGAAUAACCGUGUAUUGCAAUUAGGGUUCGUGUUUAAGAUUUCUCAAGCUUUCACCAUCAAUUAUUCUAAAAAAUGAUGGAAGAAUUCUUGUCAGCUAUGAAAUUAUUUUUAAAGUGCAACUUUUCCUGAAUAUUGUUUCUAGCUUGUAUGUUUGUUGCAAUAUUAUUAUUAUUAUUAUUAUUAUUAUUAUUAUUAUUUGAAAUUGAUAUAGUUUGAGCAAAGAUCUUAUACGAACACGUAUCGAUUGGC